UAGGGUGGUUUUAGCAGAGGGGCUCACCUGUUCCCAUUCCGAACACAGAAGUUAAGCCCUCUAGCGCCGAUGGUACUGCGAAAGCGGGAGAGUAGGUCGCCGCCAGUC
rnacentral:rRNA from 2 species